rnacentral:rRNA from 1 species
GAUGAACGCUGGCGGCGUGCCUAAUACAUGCAAGUCGAGCGAACAGAUGAGGAGCUUGCUCCUCUGACGUUAGCGGCGGACGGGUGAGUAACACGUGGAUAACCUACCUAUAAGACUGGGAUAACUUCGGGAAACCGGAGCUAAUACCGGAUAAUAUAUUGAACCGCAUGGUUCAAUAGUGAAAGACGGUUUUGCUGUCACUUAUAGAUGGAUCCGCGCCGCAUUAGCUAGUUGGUAAGGUAACGGCUUACCAAGGCAACGAUGCGUAGCCGACCUGAGAGGGUGAUGGGCAACACUGGAACUGAGACACGGUCCAGACUCCUACGGGAGGCAGCAGUAGGGAAUCUUCCGCAAUGGGCGAAAGCCUGACGGAGCAACGCCGCGUGAGUGAUGAAGUUCUUCGGAUCGUAAAACUCUGUUAGUAGGGAAGAACAAAUGUGUAAGUAACUAUGCACGUCUUGACGGUACCUAAUCAGAAAGCCACGGCUAACUACGUG